CCUCUAGCAUUAACAGUAUUAGAGGUACCGCCUGCCCAGUGACCUAUGUUAAACGGCCGCGGUAUCCUGACCGUGCAAAGGUAGCAUAAUCAUUUGUUCUCUAAUUAAGGACUAGUAUGAAAGGCAAAACGAGGGUUCAACUGUCUCUUACUUCCAAUCAGUGAAAUUGACCUUCCCGUGAAGAGGCAGGAAUAAUCUAAUAAGACGAGAAGACCCUAUGGAGCUUAAAUUUCCUAAUUCAAGCAUUCUACACACAAUCCAAUAGAUAUAAAAAUUGCCCCUGAAUUAGAAAUCUCGGUUGGGGUGACCUCGGAGAAUAAAUCAACCUCCGAAUGAUUAAUAACCAUGACAAACAAGUCUAAGUAUAAAAUCAUAUAUUGAUCCAAACUAUUGAUCAACGGAACAAGUUACCCUAGGGAUAACAGCGCAAUCCUAUUCAAGAGUCCAUAUCGACAAUUAGGGUUUACGACCUCGAUGUUGGAUCAGGACAUCCAAAUGGUGCAACCGCUAUUAAUGGUUCGUUUGUUCAACGAUUAAAGUC
rnacentral:rRNA from 1 species